ACGAAGGUGGCAAGCGUUACUCGGAAUUACUAGGCGUAAAGGGCAGGUAGGUGGUUCGAUAAGUCUGUUGUGAAAGCUCCCGGCUCAACUGGGAGAGGCCAACAGAAACUAUCGAGCUCGAGUAUAGGAGAGGGUACUGGAAUUCCCGGUGUAGCGGUGAAAUGCGCAGAGAUCGGGAGGAACACCAAUGGCGAAAGCAGGUACCUGGACUAUUACUGACACUCAACUGCGAAAGCUAGGGGAGCAAACAGGA
rnacentral:rRNA from 1 species